UGGGGAAUCUUGCACAAUGGGGGCAACCCUGAUGCAGCGACGCCGCGUGAGCGAUGAAGCCCUUCGGGGCGUAAAGCUCUUUCGACCGGAACGAUAAUGACGGUACCGGGAGAAGAAGCUGCGGCUAACUACGUGCCAGCAGCCGCGGUAAUACGUAGGGUGCAAGCGUUAUCCGGAAUCACUGGGCGUAAAGGGCGCGUAGGCGGUCUGUUAAGUCCGAUGUUAAAUCCCGGGGCUCAACCCCGGAUAAGCGUUGGAUACUGGCAGGCUAGACGGUUGGAGAGGCGAGUGGAAUUACCAGUGUAGCGGUGGAAUGCGUAGAUACUGGUAGGAACACCCAUUGCGAAGGCAGCUCGCUGGACAACACGUGACGCUGAGGCGCGAAAGUGUGGGGAGCAGACC
rnacentral:rRNA from 1 species